AUGUUUUCUCUCAACACCAUUCAAAAACAUACCAGAGCUUGUUCUGACAUCACUCUUCUGGACUCCCUGUGGAAGAUAGAAAAUUCAUCACGGUUUGUGAAGAACUGCAUAUCCAGAGAUGUUAAUGACCCCCACAUGCUAAUACUACAAUACUACAAAAUAAAUGUAUAUUAUGCUAAAAAUUGUCCAAAUAACCUCAACACUAAGACUGGGGUUACAUAA